rnacentral:lncRNA from 1 species
GGAUUGCCUGGGGUCCCAGGUGAACAAGGUGUCCCAGGACCUGCAGGAGUACAGGGUACAAAGGGGCAGAAAGGAGCCCGAGGAGAAGCCGGAGCCCCUGGAGAGUCUGGUGUGACUGGACCAGCAGGGCCCCCAGGUCCAAGAGGCUUGCCAGGAAAUGUGGGUGUGCCUGGAGACCCUGGACUACCAGGAAAGGAGGGACAAAAGGGAGAAAAGGGUGAUCCUGGAAAAGAAGGACAAGUGGGUUUGCCUGGGCCAGCUGGCGAGCCAGGGCCUGCUGGAGAGCCAGGUUUGCCUGGUAAGGGUAAAGAUGGAG